rnacentral:rRNA from 1 species
UACGUAGGGUCCGAGCGUUGUCCGGAAUUAUUGGGCGUAAAGGGCUCGUAGGCGGUUUGUCACGUCGGGAGUGAAAACUCAGGGCUCAACCCUGAGCGUGCUUCCGAUACGGGCAGACUAGAGGUAUGCAGGGGAGAACGGAAUUCCUGGUGUAGCGGUGGAAUGCGCAGAUAUCAGGAGGAACACCGGUGGCGAAGGCAGAUCUCUGGGCCGUAACUGACGCUGAGGAGCGAAAGCGUGGGGAGCGAACAGG